UUGACGGGACCGCACAAGCAGAGUAGCGCGUGGUUUAAUUCGACGGUAAUCGAAGAACCUUACCAGGGUUUGAAAUGUAUCUGCAUGCCUUAUGAAAGUAGGGAGGCCUUCGAGGGUGAUACACAGGUGCUGCAUGGCCGCCGUCAGCUCGUGUCGUGAGAUGUUGGGUUAAGUCCCGUAACGAGCGCAACCCUUGUCCUUAGUUACCAGCACGUAAUGGUGGGAACUCUAAGGAGACUGCCGGUGACAAACCGGAGGAAGGUGGGGAUGACGUCAAGUCAUCAUGGCCCUUACGGCCAGGGCUACACACGUGCUACAAUGGUCGGUACAAAGGGUUGCCAAGCCGCGAGGUGGAGCUAAUCCCAUAAAACCGAUCGUAGUCCGGAUCGCAGUCUGCAACUCGACUGCGUGAAGUCGGAAUCGCUAGUAAUCGUGAAUCAGAAUGUCACGGUGAAUACGUUCCCGGGCCUU
rnacentral:rRNA from 1 species